GGCGGUAAAGCUCAGUUGUAGAGCACAUGCUUAGCAUGCAUGAGGUCCUGGGUUCAAUCCCCAGUACCUACA
rfam:Camelus ferus unplaced genomic scaffold scaffold2190, whole genome shotgun sequence.